GCAGAGAAGCAGUUGGGGAGGCCACCAGACCAGUGGGGCUGGCCAGAAAGAUGGUGCCACACUGGGAAGGUCGAUGGACCACCCGACUCCCGUGACCCCAAGGACCCCCCACAUCAAGUCACGGCCCACCCGAGGCUGUGGGAGGCAAGACUGACUACCGUUUAAAUGUAACAAAAGCCCCAAAUGUUUUACUUGGCAUUAAUGAAAGCAUAAUUCCGAUCAGGAGCCCCAAGCUUUACCAGGGAGCAGUUUUUAGGAGAAUAAGACACCCUAAGAAGAGAAGCGACCCACCUUGGAACAGAAGGGCCCAGACCAGCGGGGAUGAGACCGUGGACUGCAUGACAGUGGCCAAACGCACCAGCAUGACCCUGCCGUGUGAUCCCCACGUGGACCAGGCCAGGGACAUGAGAAAAGGAGAAAAGAGACCAUUUGGAACAGCGCACAUCCUACUGCAAACCUGGAGGGACACCUGAGAGGACCAGGGGCAGAUCAGACAGGGAAGGCCCCGGGGAACCUCCAGCCCUGCAGGCACCUGCCUCCCACCUGGGGCACUGCCAGGGCCGCCUGACCACACCUGACACAGCCGGCCCCUCUGAAGGGGUCUCUGCGCAUCGGUCUGAAAUGGGCCAGCUCUCCAGGGGAAGAGGGCAUCUGGCAGCGGAGAGAGUUAGAGAAGCCCCAGCACCCACGAUGGACACCACGACAGGGAGAAGGACUGAUGGGGGACUGCAGCCCCUCGAAAUCGAGACCACUUUUCUGCCUCCCCCCAGAAGUGUUUAUGGGUGCACAAGGCUCUAGAGAAGACAGCGGUGCCCCGUGGAGGCAUGUUUUGUGCAGAAGCUGGUUUCCCAGGUCAGGAGGCUGGAGGGUCCCAGGAGGAAGACCAGGGAGCCUGCCGGUUUCCCAGCAGAUUUCUUGGAAUCCUGUGAUUUCUAGAGUGUUGCUGGGGCCCUGCAGAC